rnacentral:rRNA from 1 species
UACGGAGGGGGCAAGCGUUGUUCGGAAUUACUGGGCGUAAAGGGUUCGUAGGUGGCUUUCUUAGUCAGACGUGAAAUCCCUCGGCUUAACCGGGGAACUGCGUCUGAUACUGGCGAGCUUGAGUGCAGGAGAGGAAAGCGGAAUUCCAGGUGUAGCGGUGAAAUGCGUAGAUAUCUGGAGGAACACCGGUGGCGAAGGCGGCGUUCUGGACUGCAACUGACGCUGAGGCGCGAAAGCUAGGGGAGCAAACAGG